GACGAACGCUGGCGGCGUGCUUAACACAUGCCAGUCGAACGGAAAGGCCCUGCUUUUGUGGGGUGCUCGAGUGGCGAACGGGUGAGUAACACGUGAGUAACCUGCCCUUGACUUUGGGAUAACUUCAGGAAACUGGGGCUAAUACCGGAUAGGAGCUCCAGCUGCAUGGUGGGGGUUGGAAAGUUUCGGCGGUUGGGGAUGGACUCGCGGCUUAUCAGCUUGUUGGUGGGGUAGUGGCUUACCAAGGCUUUGACGGGUAGCCGGCCUGAGAGGGUGACCGGCCACAUUGGGACUGAGAUACGGCCCAGACCCCUACGGGAGGCAGCGGGGGGGAAUUUUGCACAAUGGGCGGAAGCCUGAUGCAGCAACGCCGGGUGGGGGAUGACGGCCUUGGGGUUGUAAACCGCUUUCGCCUGUGACGAAGCGUGAGUGACGGUAAUGGGUAAAGAAGCACCGGAUAACUACGU
rnacentral:rRNA from 1 species